GCAAGACCUACCCCAAGAGACCAUCACAGUCCACAGGACUGAACAAUGCGAAUCGGUCCAACACCAAGACGGAGAAUGCAGAAAAAGAGGGAACGGCUAAGAUUACAGCACAGUCAGCUGUGAAGAGCUCCAACGUAACCAAGACAGAGAAUGGCGGUCCAGAGAAACAGCGAGGG